CUGGGAAGACGUUGAAGGCUGGGAGAAGAGUGUGUUGCAGAUUUAAUAUUAAUUUGACAUCAUUUUAAUGCCCGGAGAAUGGUGCCCUUCCUGGAAUUGAACUUUAAUAUUAAAUAUAAGAUUGGACAAUAGCCAGGAGCAGGAAUCAGGGGGAGAUGCAAACCAUUGCUUUAAACCUUGCUGCUUCUGUUUGGAAGAGGACAUCACAUCCUACAAUCUCAAUGGCUCCCCCUGGAGUUCAACAUAGAUAGUGCCCAUAGAAUUUUGCAGUGUGGCAUUUUUGCUUUAACACGAAUUCAUUCUCUGAA